ACUGGGUGUGGUGGCAUAUGCCUGUAAUCCCAGAGACUGGGGGAGCUGAGGCAGGAGGAUUGCAAGUUUUAGGCCAGCCCCAGCAGUUUAGCAAGAUCCUGUCUCAA
rnacentral:sRNA from 1 species